rnacentral:rRNA from 1 species
UUUCAACAACGGAUCUCUUGGCUCUCGCAUCGAUGAAGAACGCAGCGAAAUGCGAUAAGUAAUGUGAAUUGCAGAAUUCAGUGAAUCAUCGAAUCUUUGAACGCACCUUGCGCCCUUUGGUAUUCC